GAUGAAGAACGCAGCGAAAUGCGAUAAGUAAUGUGAAUUGCAGAAUUCAGUGAAUCAUCGAAUCUUUGAACGCACAUUGCGCCCGCCAGUAUUCUGGCGGGCAUGCCUGUCUGAGCGUCAUUUCAACCCUCAUGCCCCUAGGGCGUGGUGUUGGGGAUCGGCCAAAGCCCGCGAGGGACGGCCGGCCCCUAAAUCUAGUGGCGGACCCGUCGUGGCCUCCUCUGCGAAGUAGUGAUAUUCCGCAUCGGAGAGCGAUGAGCCCCUGCCGUUAAACCCCCAACUUUCCAAGGUUGACCUCAGAUCAGGUAGGAAUACCCGCUGAACUUAAGCAUAUCAUAAGCGGAGGA
rnacentral:misc_RNA from 1 species